AUUGAACGCUGGCGGCAGGCCUAACACAUGCAAGUCGAGCGGAUGACGGGAGCUUGCUCCUGGAUUCAGCGGCGGACGGGUGAGUAAUGCCUAGGAAUCUGCCUGGUAGUGGGGGAUAACGUCCGGAAACGGGCGCUAAUACCGCAUACGUCCUGAGGGAGAAAGUGGGGGAUCUUCGGACCUCACGCUAUCAGAUGAGCCUAGGUCGGAUUAGCUAGUUGGUGGGGUAAUGGCCUACCAAGGCGACGAUCCGUAACUGGUCUGAGAGGAUGAUCAGUCACACUGGAACUGAGACACGGUCCAGACUCCUACGGGAGGCAGCAGUGGGGAAUAUUGGACAAUGGGCGAAAGCCUGAUCCAGCCAUGCCGCGUGUGUGAAGAAGGUCUUCGGAUUGUAAAGCACUUUAAGUUGGGAGGAAGGGCAGUAAGUUAAUACCGUGCUGUUUUGACGGUACCAACAGAAUAAGCACCGGCUAACUUCGUG
rnacentral:rRNA from 1 species